rnacentral:rRNA from 1 species
CAGCCGCCGCGGGAAUACGUAGGGUCCGAGCGUUGUCCGGAAUUAUUGGGCGUAAAGGGCUCGUAGGCGGUUUGUCGCGUCGGGAGUGAAAACCAGCAGCUUAACUGCUGGCCUGCUUUCGAUACGGGCAGACUUGAGGCAUUCAGGGGAGAACGGAAUUCCUGGUGUAGCGGUGAAAUGCGCAGAUAUCAGGAGGAACACCGGUGGCGAAGGCGGUUCUCUGGGAAUGUUCUGACGCUGAGGAGCGAAAGUGUGGGGAGCGAACAGGAUUAGAUACCCCAGUAGUCCCUGUAUCUUAUAC